CGAAGCAGUGAUGUGGAGCGAAACUCAAAAAAAUAAGUCUCAGUUCGGAUUGAAGGCUGAAAUUCGCCUUCAUGAAGCCGGAAUUGCUAGUAAUGGCAGGUCAGCAUACUGCCGUGAAUACGUUCCCGGGCCUUGUACACACCGCCCGUCACACCAUGAGAGUUGGGAAUACCCGAAGCCUGUGAGCCAACUUAUAGAGGCAGCAGUCGAAGGUAGAAUCAAUGAUUGGGGUGAAGUCGUAACAAGGUACC
rnacentral:rRNA from 1 species